rnacentral:rRNA from 1 species
UACGGAGGGAGCUAGCGUUGUUCGGAAUUACUGGGCGUAAAGCGCACGUAGGCGGCCAAGUAAGUCAGGGGUGAAAUCCCGGGGCUCAACCCCGGAACUGCCCUUGAAACUGCUAGGCUAGAAUCUUGGAGAGGCGAGUGGAAUUCCGAGUGUAGCGGUGAAAUUCGUAGAUAUUCGGAGGACCACCAGUGGCGAAGGCGACUCGCUGGCCAAGUAUUGACGCUGAGGUGCGAAAGCGUGGGGAGCAAACAGG